UACGUAGGUGGCAAGCGUUGUCCGGAUUUACUGGGCGUAAAGAGCUCGUAGGUGGUUUGGUAAGUCGGAUGUGAAAUCUCCAGGCUCAACCUGGAGGGGUCAUUCGAUACUGCCAUGACUAGAGGUCGGUAGGGGAGUGUGGAAUUCCUGGUGGAGCGGUGAAAUGCGCAGAUAUCAGGAGGAACACCCGUAGCGAAGGCGGCACUCUGGGCCGAUACUGACACUGAGGAGCGAAAGCGUGGGGAGCGAACAGG
rnacentral:rRNA from 1 species